AAGGGCCGUGUGGGGAUGAUUCAACUGCUGGUUCAUGGAUUCUAUUAUCUUGUACUGUUCAAGGAUCUGUUUUCGCGGCAGGAUAAUGGUGUGCAUGACACAGGAGUUGUAUUGCCACUACGCUGUUUUU
rnacentral:pre_miRNA from 1 species